rnacentral:rRNA from 1 species
UAGGGAAUAUUGGGCAAUGGAUGAAAGUCUGACCCAGCCAUGCCGCGUGCCGGACGAAGGCCCUCUGGGUCGUAAACGGCUUUUACACGGGAAGAAGAGCGGGGGUGCGCCCCCGUGUGACGGUACCGUGGGAAUAAGCACCGGCUAACUCCGUGCCAGCAGCCGCGGUAAUACGGAGGGUGCGAGCGUUGUCCGGAUUUAUUGGGUUUAAAGGGUGCGCAGGUGGCCCGGUCAGUCAGUGGUGAAAUGCGGCCGCUCAACGGUCGAACUGCCAUUGAUACUGCCGGGCUUGAGAGAGGUGGAGGCUGCCGGAACGGACGGUGUAGCGGUGAAAUGCAUAGAUAUCGUCCAGAACGCCGAUUGCGAAGGCAGGUGGCCACGCCUCAUCUGACACUGAGGCACGAAAGCGUGGGGAGCGAACA